rnacentral:rRNA from 1 species
CCUACGGGAGGCAGCAGUGGGGAAUAUUGCACAAUGGGGGGAACCCUGAUCCAGCGACGCCGCGUGGGUGAUGGCGGACUUCGGUACGUAAAGCCCUAUCAGCAGGAAAGAAAAUGACGGUACCUGACUAAGAAGCCCCGGCUAACUCCGUGACAGCAGCCGCGGUACGACGUAGGGGGCAAGCGUUAUCCGGAUUUACUGGGUGUAAAGGGAGCGUAGACGGCAGUGCAAGUCCGGAGUGAAAGCCCGGGGCUCAACCCUGGGACUGCUCUGGAAACUGCAAGGCUGGAGUGCGGGAGGGGCAGGUGGAAUUCCUGGUGUAGCGGUGAAAUGCGUAGAUAUCAGGAGGAACACCGACGGCGAAGGCGGCCUGCUGGACCGUAACUGACGUUGAUGCUCGAAAGCGUGGGGAGCAAACAGGAUUAGAUACCCUGGUAGUC